AUUCACCUGACGAGCCUCGAAUAGGACGAAACGUACGUCCUGUAU
rfam:Schistosoma rodhaini strain Burundi genome assembly, scaffold: SROB_scaffold0018794